rnacentral:lncRNA from 1 species
UGGGAGAACAUGAUACAAAUCUUUUCCUUGGUAGAGAGCAUAUCUUUAUUCAACAUACUUGAUUUGUUUUUGACUUCCAAACAUUUUUUAUUCUUGAAACAAUUUUCCAAUUUGACCCCAAAAAAACAAUUUUCCAAAAUCAAUACAUAGAAACUAAAUAAGUUUGAAUGAUCUUUGAACGGUGAGGUGCAUCUAACGUAGAUCUAAACUUUUCCCAAAACCUCAAUUUUCGGUUUCGCAACAAUAGCGGUCCACUGGCCCUACAGUCUCCGGCGAUCUUGUCGAUGCUCAUAGCAGUUUUCCCUUUCUCGAUUUUCGAUCAACAUAAUGAAACAAACAAUACCGGUAUUUUGGAUGGUCUUCUCCUUCUCUCUCAGUGAAUCGGGUGAGUUUUUCUGCUGUAUAGUACCUUUAGGAUGGCUCUGUUUUUUGGUGGCUCAUCGGCGUAAGGUCUACUCUCUCUAUUAAAUGACAACAUGGAGACGCCAUAAGUUGCUUGUUAGUCAUCAUGGGGUGGAUGCUUGUAUCGACGGUUGAUGAGAAGACUAUUGGUGACUUGCAUGUGGGGUGACGAUUCUCCAUGUUUUGUUUCUCUUCGGCCUGGUUUCUUCUCCUCACCGCCUUGGGGGAGGCGAAGUCACAGAUUCUCAGACUGAUGCAGAGGCGGAUCUGUUGCAGAUGACGGCGAUUAUGGUUUCAGAGUCUCAAUUUAGGAACUGGCAUUUGUGGCCGCAAGGACGACUUUGUGGAUAGUGUUAUCUUUGAGGGUGACUGGUGAUAGAGUUGCACCCGAUUUGAAUACCUUGGCCGUGAUGUUUCGGAAAUCUGAUUUGGUGUUCAUAGGGCCGACUCACGGUAUAUAUGGGUAUUUGGGCAAAAAAAACUUCUUACAUGAAUCUAUGGACAACUUUAUUUUUUUUUUAAAUUGAACCCCUUUUUAACAUUAUUUUUGUUAAAAAUUGCUCGGGCCCUGGAGCACACACCCCCUUGUCCCAUGCCCUAAGCCGGUCUGGGUGUUCAUCGGAGAGAACAUC